UAUUAGAGUUGUAAUCCUAUUAGGGUAAUGAAUUAACCUUCCCUACUACUAUAAAUAAAGGCACAAUGUGGUGAAAUUGAACACACCUCACAGUUACACUCUCUCUUCUCUCUCUAUGCAACACCCCUCUCUAUUUCUUGUCUCCAUAAUUGUUCAGUAAAUUAUGAUUACAACAUAUUGAUCGAUUUUCAAUUAUAAGGACCAUGAGUGGGUUAAUUUUAGAGACCAAUUGUGAAAAAAAAACCCUUUUAGUUAUAGCCAAGAUUUCUCCUGAUGGACGUGUGUUUUAAAUUUGUCAGAGACUAUCGAUUAUAGAAAAUAAUUACAAUUGUUUAAAAAAAAAAAAAAUCAAUUCUCGGCUAAUUGCAAGCUGGUCAUAAAUACAGGGACAAUUUACGACGACCAAAAUUAGUUCUCUUAAAAGAAAGGUUUGCGCCAAUAAACUAGGAGGCUAUUUUCACGUGCAAUUUUUAGUUCCUCACACUUUUAUAUUUGUUUUUAACUAUUAAAUUGAAUAAAUUAAAUAAAAACAGUGCAUAUGACUAAAAAGAGUAAAUUGCCAAAAUGAUCCUUGAGAUUUGCAUAACUCAUCACUUUGGUCCUUGAGAUUCCAAAUCGAUAAAAGUGGUCCCUGAGAUUGUCCACCUUCCAUCAUUUUGAUCAUUCCGUUAAAAACGCCAUUAAGUGUCCUGGAGCUCUUUGCCAUAAGUUUGGGCAAUUUUCAAAGCUUCGUAACUCAAUCGUUUCUUAACCAAAUUUGACCCAUAAUAUAUCAAAAUGAAUAUAGGAAAGUGUAGAAUACUAUUAUACCUAUUUCGAAGCCAAUGGUUGCCGGAGAUUGCCGGAAAAUAGCCUCAAAGUUGAUUGGUUUGAGUGAAAACUUGAAAACUCGCCGGAAACUGGGUAAACUUUAAACGUUCAUAACUUCUUCAAUACUCAACAAAAUUAAGUAAUUCAAA
rnacentral:lncRNA from 1 species